rnacentral:rRNA from 1 species
UACAGAGGUCUCAAGCGUUGUUCGGAUUCAUUGGGCGUAAAGGGCUCGUAGGCGGCCAACUAAGUCAGACGUGAAAUCCCUCGGCUUAACCGGGGAACUGCGUCUGAUACUGGAUGGCUUGAAUCCGGGAGAGGGAUGCGGAAUUCCAGGUGUAGCGGUGAAAUGCGUAGAUAUCUGGAGGAACACCGGUGGCGAAGGCGGCAUCCUGGACCGGCAUUGACGCUGAGGCACGAAAGCGUGGGGAGCAAACAGG